UAAAAACCAGUAAGAUAACACGGUAAAGAGCUACGUGUAACACGAAUUUGCUGUGCAUGUGGAUGAGUCUCUGUCGCAAAUCUGAGUAUCCUAACACGUGUACAUCUCUAAUCACAUAUAUAUGACAAGAUUUUAGACAAAUUAACGCUUUACAGGUAGAGGCAAAUUGAGAGAGUGGCAAAAAUGGAGUCAACGAAGGAGAGAAAAGAGAAAGUGGAGAAGGGGCAAACGGAACAGAAGGGAAGUGUUGAUCCAAUAGCCAAGGCUAGGGAGGUACUUCAAGAAGCUGUCAUUAGCAAAGAUGAUGGAAAGGCUCAGGGCGAUAAUAAUGACGAGAAGGAAGGAGCAAAAGACCCUGAUGACAUUUUGGUUUUUGCUAGAGCUGUUCACCACACUGAUUCCUCGCUUGAUUGAUAUAUAGCUACAUGACGAGAAGUAUCUAUGAAGUGUAAAUGAGACGAAGAGGGUUUUAGAGGUGACUGGCCAGUCUAAGUUACUGUACAAUUUUCAGUUUGUUUCAAUAUGAGAGUUGGAAAUCACAAGUUUAAAUUGUUCUUACUCAUUCUUGAUUCUUAAUUCUUUACGGAAAGGAGAGUAGCAAAAGCAUGACAGGAUUGAUUAUGCACAACAUAAUUUUGGAUGGGAAGGAUAUUGCAGAUAUUAAAUAUUCUACUCAAGAUUUGUGAGUUGCAACCAUAUAUCACCUCAGAGAUCUAAGCCAAGAAAAGAUUGUUCCAUAUGAAAAAUCGCAAAAAAAGUCUUAAUUUCUCCAAAUUUUCAAAGGCGAGGUUCUUUUACUUGCCUGGUACAUCUUCUUAGUUAUUGGAGAGAUCAUUAGAGUAUAUCACUUAGGUCCUUUGCAAGUAGGAUGAAGUAACUAAAUCCAUUUUUGUCAUGCUUUGUGCUCAUGGCAUGUAUCUUAAUAUGAGAAGAAGAUAAAGAGAAUUUAUAAUGAAAUGACAAAAAGGACAAUAGUGCAUGUUUCCAACCAUGAAUUUUUAAUUCAGAUGCUUUCUAUCGGUCACAUUGAAUACUUAAGCUAUGCAUACAGCCAUACGGGUCCACACAUUGGAUGUCUUUUACUACUCUCAUCUCCAUACCAAUUUACAUUUUUAUAUACGAAAUGGGAUUGCUAAGUUAGUGAAGUUACGGCUACUAUCCUGGUCACUACACUCAGCAAUGUCCUUUAAACUAGUCCAAGAUUUUCUCUUCCGCUUGCUUGAUGGUAUGGAAGCUUUCUUUGCAUCAACAGGAACAGAACUGCUUUCUGAUUCAACAAUUUUCUUGGAUCCUGAUCUAGUCCUUUUCCUCUUUCUUGUAUCCAACAAAGUCUCAACUUUAGCCGAGGGAGUUGUAGAACUGUCAUUCGCAGGAUCCUUGUUAAUUAUUUUUUGUGAAGCAAUUCCAUCCACCUUGGACAUGGGAUCAUUUUUGCUUGCUGUAAUGACCUUUGCUUUGGCAAACUUUGGAUGACUUGAUUUGGUAGGAUCUGAUUUUGAAGAGACUUUGGGCUUCGAUGGACACAACUCUUUCAUGUAGCCUUUCGGGGUUCCUCUCUUCAAGUUUCUAUGCGAACAAAAGUGGCAGCUGUAAACCACACUGUUUUCAAUCGAAAGACUACGUUUCUUGCGCCUUCGCUUUGGAUUUGGUUUUAUCUUCUCAAUCCGAACCGUACAAUUAUAGCCAGGUUGAAGAAUAGAUUCACACCUGUAGAAAAAUUACAAUGGUAAUCAAAACAUUAGACACGCAGAUGAAUGUUUGUAUUAUAAUCCACCACCAUGGUGGUAACAACAUUAAGAUUGUACUGCAGUAUCUCCUUUGCUUCUAUACAAUCAAGAAAAAUAGUCUUGCAAGAAUCGAUCUUUAGUAGCAAAGAGCCAGAAGGAACCAUCCAGGCAGUGAAAACAUCUAGAAAUAUGGGUGAGCAUCGUUGCAUCAGCCAUCUGCAUAAAGGGUUAUAUUAGGACUUCAUUCUACAUCUAUGCUUCCUUCCUUCGCUUUCUUGCUCUAGCUGAGGGCAACUAGAGAUAAUAACUUGGGCCAAUGAGUGUUGUACUCAGACCUAUAUGUCAGUUUUAGGAAUGAUAUUACUUCCAAAACAAUUCGUUGUUGUAGAAAUACCAGUUAAUCUUCGAGUCAUGAAAUUCACUAGCUACUCCUAGAUAGAAGCACAAACAAAAUAUGUUUAUCCGAAACAUCAAGCAUGUUUGAGGAGAUUGGUUUCACGGAAGUAUUUUCCCAAAAUACGGUAAGACGGCCUUCUAUAAGCUACUAGAGCAAAUUCUACAAGAACGUUGUGUGUAAAAACUUGAUUGUCCAAAACAGUUUACUCCAUUACAGAGAAGAGGUCAUAAUCUGAUAGACAUACACGUAAUUUAACUGUACCGCAUCACAAACCAAAGCCUUUAAGCCUCUAAAAUUCCUAGGAACUAAUCAUGGAAGCACUAAAUCAAACUAAAAAACGUUACUACUGAAAUAGAACACAACAACUCUAAUACAACCAAAUAGGACUUGUAUCGAACAUGUAGAAUACGCCACAAGUAGAAAGCACAAAAACGAUAGGAAAAAUGGGAAGAAUUUAGGGGACCUCUGGCAGGAGAACAAUGAAGGGUCAGGAGGAACACCCAAGGCUUCAGCAGUGGCAGCCAAGCGGUGGCCAAAAAAAGCACCUAGUGAACAUACGGAAGCUUCGGCAGUAGCCCAGAUAGCGAGGUUUUUAAGGUGGUCCAAUUUCAACAUGGACUUGGGAUUUACGCUGCUCUGUUUCUUUCCGCUAGAUUCUUCUCUCAUUGUUCCUGAAGGAGCCUGCUGCAAGUGUGGCUGUGAAGAUAUUGCCGCUGCUGCUGCUGUGGAUGAAUUCUUCUUCUUACCCAUCGCUACUCAAAUUUGGAAACUCAAUAAAAGUAUCAAAAUAUGUUUUAAACACUUAAUGAGGAAUCGCAGCCACAAUAUCAAGAACAGUAACAGUAAGAUUCAAACUAGUAAAUAGUCUGAUAAUACCUGAAACAAAAAAGAAAAAGAAUCAGAUAAUUACCCAAAUCAACUUAGCUAGUUGGUGGGGUUUUGAUUGUUUGGACCAACGAAAUAGAAUAGAAAGCAGUGCCAGAGAGUGGCAGCAGCAGGGAAGAAGAGGGAGGAAUGAUUGAGGGACGGAAUAAAAGGAGAAACUCAGGUAGAGGCCGCAUGAGUCUUAUGACUUACAGUCUGGGCUGGGACAAGAUGGGUUCGAGACAGUUUAGCCCAGGUCAUGGUAUUCGGGCCAAAUAACUACUACUAGUCUACUACUUGUUUUCUUUGUGAACAGAUUUCGACACAAAAUAGUGCGGGAUAAUUUCAUAAACCCCCCUGAGAUUUUUUAUAAUUACAACCACCACCUUUAAAGUUUGAAAAAUUACACUUAUCCGUGCGUCCGAUCCUGAGGUGACUGCAAUUGUUUAAAAAACUCAAGGAGGUUCCUGAAAUUAUACCGUGCAACAAUGAAGAUAUUGGCUUCAGCCUCCUCGCUCCCAAACUUUAACUAACACAAGAUAAAAUUUUUAUACUCCAAGAAAAACUUUUCAUGUUAGCAUAGAAUUAUAGUGAAUUUUAUGGUGAGAGCAUUUAAUAAUUGAAAAAAUGUAGUUUGGUCCAUUCUAAUUUGGUCUAUACAAUAGGAACUACUUCCAUAUAAUAUGUUAUCCAUGUAAUCCUCUCUAGCUCACUCCCUAUUAACAUGAGGUGGUUUAGGUAUAACAACUGGAGUUUUAUAGACUUCAAGAGCUGCAUAUCUUGCUGCUAGGACUGAAGUGGCGGCACCAAUUACAAUAGCAUCCUCAUCAUCAUCACUAUCGGGAUCCAUCUAUGAAAAUUUAAUAUAAUUAUUAAUUGAUUGCAUGCAUAUAAUUGUUAAUUAGGAUUUAAAGAUGUACUUACCAAUGGAAUACCUUAGCGAAUGUGUAAGGAGUACGAUUACUUGAACAGAAAUUCGCAACAGAAAUCCAACUGCCGCCCAAAACCAUGAUGCCAAUAAGAUUACUUGUUUGGGUAAUAAACAUUUAAUUCACGUAGCAGUAGAUUAUUAGUAGUGUACCAGAAAAAGCCAGAGUGAUGCAGGGGUCUCAAAUGCAGAGUGAUGCAGGUUAUACCAAUAGCAGUUAAUGUUCUCCUUAAAUGUGGGCGGGCCCAAGAAGAAUAAGAGUAUAUAAAGGACAUAGGAAAAGAAAGUUAGCUUGUGUUCAUAGUUCAGCUGUUUCAGCACCCGAGACAGAGGAAAAGAAACAAUAUGAUUGUGUAGUCUCCUAAAACUUUUGUUAGCUACUUCAUUACUUUUUCCCAGAGAACCCCUUCCAAUGAAUCACGUUAAAAAGUGGACAGGAUUGGUAAAACAAUCUUGCUGCUGAAAUCUGAUAUUAAAAUAGGAGAGUGCAACUGUCUGUACAAAUGUUGCACGAAAUCUGCAUGAACAUGCAAAUACUAAGUCCCGAAGUGAUCUGUGGCUUUUCUUUCUGAUUAAACAUCUAUACAGGUCCACUUCAGUUUACAGGAAAGACAGCAAAAAAAAUCAAUUAUGCGCUGAUGUUGGAGCUUGGGGCGCAGGCUUAGCCCUAUUGGCUUGAGCUGGUUCUACUUGUGAUGACACAUUUCAAUAGAACUGAACUCAUUCUUCAAAUAUAGAAUUUUAAGUAGGACGAAUAUAGUCAGACAUUAUAGGAUCUGUUAUGAUUCACGAAAAACAAGAAUAUCAUUAUAGCUUGUUAACUGCAACGCUGGGAGAUUCUUUGCUCUCUGGGAUGAACACAAGCAAACUGUUUUCCUUCCUAAUCAGAUUUUGUCAACUAUUUACAAAUGGUCUCGCCAGACUGUAAGAAAAACACUACCCUACCCUACCCUACCCGGAUUCUGAUUCCAAGAAUCAUAAAACCCCCAAAACUCAGCAGCCAAAUUAAUUCAUUAGCAUCAAUCAAAUCAGAUUUAACCCUAAUCAGGUAAGAACAAACUAAAACAAAAGCAACUCACAAAAAUUCAUUCAAAUCCAACUUCAAGAAUCUACACCAGUAUUCUAGACAAUUUUUCAAAGGAAAAGGGAGGAAAAAAAGGCUAAUAAGAGACCAUCAUACCUCUGGAAAUACUUAAGGAGUUUUCACCCUUGUUGGAAAUGCUACUGUAGGAACGGGAAUGAGAUUGUGCUUAGGCCGUCAAACAAGCUUCUGAGGCUGCAUAAGCAAACGCAUCCACAAUGGCGGGCACAGCUCACAAACAAAAAGCAGACUGAAGAGUCAGAGAGGGAGAUGGUUACCGGCCGCAAUGGCUAAGUCUAGUUCCGAUGACUAGAGAAAUGGACCACACAAACUCACACUCACACAAACGCAUCCACACAUGACUUGAGCCGUUGAUAUUGGCCGCUUUCAAAGGAAAAAAAUAUAUGAGAGAGAGAGAGAGAGAGAGAUGCCGGAGUAGCUCACCUGAUGAGAUGCCAAAGAGAGAGAUGCCGGGAAUGAAAGUUAUUUUCCUGAUGAGAUGUCGCUGAUGAGAUCGAAAACCCUUGCUGGAGCCGUGAAAAGAAGAGGAAAAUAACUUCUUCAACAAUGAUAGAUAAUAAGGAAGUUAACCCGUGGGUAUAUCCGAAAUUAUUUUUCUAAAUUAAUUAAUAAUUAAACAAUGAAAAAUAUUUUUUAGAAAAUCUUUUUCAUCCAAACAAACAGAUCCUAAGUAUAAAUUAUAGGGUCUGUUUGGAUAGCUUGUUUUUGGGACUGUUUUUGAAAAACUGUUUUUCACAUUCCAAAUGCUACAAUAAAUGUGUAUUUCAAAAACAACUCCAAAAACACCAUAUCCAAACAAUAUAUCAAAAACAACUCCAAAUAAAUAUUUAAUAUGUUUAUUUCAAUUUGUAUAUUUCAAUUAUGUAUAGGAUAUAUAUAUAUAUAUAAUAUUAAUUUAAAUAUAUUUAUUUAUACAUAUUAUAAAUAUUUUAUUUUAUAAAUAAAUAUAUAUUGGAUAAAAUAUAUUUUUAUAUAUUUAUAAUAUAUUUAUAUAAAUAUUAUAUAUUAUAAAUUAUAUAAAUGAUAUAUAAUAAUAUGUAAUUAUACAUUUAUAAAAAUAUUAUAUAUUAUAUAUAUUUGAUAUAUACAUAAUAUAUAUUAUAUAUAUUAUACAUUUAUAUAAAUGUACAUUUAUACAUAAUAUAUAUAUUUAUGUAUAUUUAUAAUAUACUUUUAUAUUAUGUAUUAUAUAUAAUAUAAUACAUUUAUAAUAUAUUUAUACAUUUAUAUUAAUAUACAUAAUAUUAAUUAUACAUUUAUAUAUAAUAUUAAUACAUUUAUACAUUUAUAUUUAAUAUAUUAAUACAUUUAUACAUAAUAUUAACAUAUAUUUAUAAUAUAUUAAUUUAUACAUUUAUAUAAUAUUCAUUUAUAAUUUAUACACAUUUAUACAUUUAUAAAUAUAUUUAUAUUAUGUAUUAUAUAUAAUAUAUUUAUUAUAUAUAUAUAUUUAUAUGUAUUAUAAAUAAAUAUAUUUAUUUAUAAAUAUUUAUAAAUGUAUUAUAAAUGCAUAAAUGUAUAUAAAUAUAAAAAUAUAAAAUUUAUAAUUUAUAAUUUAUACAUUUAUACAUUUAUAUAAUAUUCAUUUAUAAUUUAUACACAUUUAUAAUAAUAUACAUUUAUACAUUUAUAAUACAUUUAUAUAUUUAUUUAUAAAUAUAUAAAUAUAUUUAUUUAUAAAUAUAUAAAUAUAUUUAUUUAUAAAUAUAUAAAUAUAUUUAUUUAUAAAUUUAUUAUAAAUGCAUAAAUGUAUAAAAAUAUAAAAAUUAUAAACUAUAAAUUAUAAUUUAUACAUUUAUAUAAUAUUCAUUUAUAAUUUAUACAUAGGGGUGCAAACGAGCCGAACCGAGUCAAACAUUGAACUUAUUGAGCCAGACUCGACUACUGUAUAUUCGAGUUCGAACUCGAGCUCGAGAAAAUUGAGCUCGAGCUCGACUCGACUAAGUAAGAAACUGGCUCGAGUUCGACUCGAUAAGGCUCGAUUUACUCAACUCGACAAGAGCUCGAAAUGGCUCGAAUUCAGCUCAAAAAUUUCUAUCACUAAAUAUAACCAGCUUUAUUUAACCUGACUCCAAUAGCACGUUUUAACCUAUUCAAUGCCUUGCAAACUUGAAUAUAACAAUUCCAAACAUGAAUUAAAAGUAACAACAAACAAGUUUUUCAUUGUCCAAUAAAUGAGAUCAAUUUUUUUUUCAAUAACAGCCCAUCUAGUAACAGAAAUAUAACAGAAAUGAAAGAAAAAGGAACAUCCUGAAGCAUACAAAGUGCUCCACACGAUUAACUCUGUUGAGAAAGUAUGAAACAACUUCUAAGCAAAAGGAACAUCCUGAAGCAUACAAAACUGAGCCUAAAACAUAAACAGCAAAAAAACCCAAAUUGCAGCUAGUAAACUCUUUUCCUAAUGUCUAUAAACUCCUGUUUUCCCAGGUUUGGAAUAUUAAAUGUAGUGCAACGCAAAUCCAAUCGUAGCAUAAGCCAAGAUUAUGUAAAAUAAAAAAAAUCAUAUCAAAGAUUAUGUUUAAUUACCUUCUUAGUUGAGUUUUGCAUAUUUACUCUGACCCUUGACUAAAUAUCAUCAAAGUCAUUCCAUUUACUCUUAGUGCACAAAUCUGUCAUAUCUUUAACAUUUAUACUUUCUCCUAUCACCAGCAGCCGAAAAGGUCAUUUAUACUUUAACAUUGAUUAAGUUCACUAAGCACAUAAUUUCUAAACGCAAUCCAGCUUGCAUUUUCUAACAGGACAAGCUAAAAAUUACCCCAGAAUGAGAAAAUAAAAAGUGAACAAUCAAAAACUACAAACCAAAAUUAUUUCAAUCAAACAGAAGGUAUAUUCCAUGAAAAUGUAUGUAAGAAGUUAAAAAAAGAAACCCAACGUUCUUACCAAUCUUCAAAAACCGUCCUAAAUCCAAACUCAAAAAAAAAAAAAAAAAUAAGGAGAAAAAAAUACAUAGACAAAAACGCUUGUUCCAACUUCCAAUCAAUAUCAGUACAAUCUUAAUUCACCGAAUACCUGAGAAGAGACAAAUUUUUUUUUUCGGCUAAUUGAUUGAAAUUGGGGACGGAAAUGGGAAGGAAGAGGCGAUCUAAGUCUAACGAGAGCUCCAGCUCCGUCGCCAUUAACAGGAAAGAGGAAAUUAAUAGUAAUAAUUUUACAUCUAUACAUUAUACAACAGGAACGAGGUGAAGAAGUCGAUCUGGCUUUAAUGACAGGAAACAAUCACUUAUUCUACCACCAAGCAUCAUUAUACAGCAACAAAAACAGAGAAUAAGGGAAUAAGAGUGAUGGAUUACCUGUUCGCGAGGCCCUCCACCAAUGGAGCUGAUGAAAUGUCUACCGUAGCUGAGUCUAACGUUGGCCAACAAACUGGGACUCGGAGAGAAAGGGCUCUUCAAUUGAAGGACGGCAGUGGUGGUGGCAGAAGUGGCCAACUGGUGAGUGGUGAAAACAGUGGUAGCGGCGGCUAGGGUUUGCUUUUGAUUUGGGGAAAGAGGAAUGCCGAGUUGCCGACAGCGGAACAGCCGAGUGGGAAGAAGAAAGAGGCGUGUUUGUGUUAGGGGUGUCCGCUGUCUUGGUCCUUAGUCCUUGGAGAAAUUGUAUCUAGUUUCUAGUUUAGUAAUUAGUUAAAUAAGUAGGGGUAUUUAUGUAAUUUUACACGGCUCGCGAGCUCGCGAGGCUCGAACUCGACUCGUAUUAUAAACAAGCUGGCUCGAACUCGAUAUUGACUGAGCUCGAGUCGAGCGUUGACCGAACUGCUCGCGAGCAGUUCGAUUCGUUUGCACCCCUAUUUAUACAUUUAUAAAUAUAUUUAUAUUAUGUAUUAUAUAUAAUAUAAUACAUUUAUAUAUUUUUAUAUAAAUAUAUUUAUUUAUAAAUAUUUAUAAAUAUAUUAUAAAUGUAUAAAUAUAUAUUGUUAUAAAAAUAUAAAAAUUAUAAAUUAUAAAAAUACUCGAAAAUAUGUUUUAAAAAUACAUCAAAAAAUAAUCCGUAAAACAUCUAUAGUAGAAGUUUGGAAUAUAGUUUUUGAAAAAUAAUUCCAAAAACAACUAAUUCAAACGGACUUGUAUUUGAAAAACGAAAUGCUACAGUGCUGUUUUUGAAAAACAACCCUAAAAAUAGCUAAUCCAAGCAGAGUCUAGUCUUUCAAAAAAAAAUGUAAGCGGCUUUUGAGAUUUACAUUAGAUUUGUAAAGUUAUAAAAGUCUUACGAAAGGUUUUGAUAAAAAAAAAGAGUAUAAAAUAUAGGAGAGAGAGAGAGAAGGUGAGUGUCAAAUUCUAUAUAUAUCGAAAUUUUCUUCUAUUAUUCAAAUUAUUAUUUUUUUUUUGACAAACGUAUUAUUCAAAUUAUUAUUUGAUAAUAGGAUUGUUAAUAGGAGUAGAUCAAGUUAAAUUCAGUUUGUGCGACCCGAAAAAAAGAUUACUGAAUCCAAAUCUCAUAUAAUAACAUAAAUUGAGUUUUAAAUUUUUAAUAUAAAUUUAAAGUCUAAAACCCAAAAAUUCAUAUAAUUUAUGAGGUGAGUUUGAGUUCACUAAGGCUGGAUUCAAAAAGUCAAUUGAUAAUUUGAUAUCAAUGUCAAUUUUAAAUAUGAUGGAUUGUUAAAGAAUUCCCCAAUCCACCCACUACAACUAUGGAGAAUUUUUUUUUUUUUAAGAAAAAGAAAAUUAUAUAGGGCAAUUACCGGAUAACCAUCUUGUUCCAGGGCUUCUACAAAAUCCCAACCCAACACUUGGCGCCUUAAAAUUUUCGGACCUGGAAGAAACCGCCUAGCUAGCUUACUAGCUCAUGACAUUUGCCCUCUCGGGUACGAACACUCUCUCUCACACACUGGCACACUCAUUAAUCACACACAGUAAUCGCAAUGGGUAAUCGGAGGUUCACUCAGAUGCCGCCGAGCGAUGACGAGGACGACGGGCCACCGCCACCACCUCCGCCGCCGCGGCGGAGCUCAGCGAACGGUGACGAGGAGAAAACGAACCAAAGGAAGCGGAAGAAAAUGAAGCUCGUCGACGAAGAAGAAGAUGAAGAAAAGCAAGUGAAGGAAGACAGUGUCAGAGAUAGGAAGAAGCAAAAGAAAGUGAUCAAAGAAGAAGAAGCAACUGCGGCUGAGCCUAGCGGUGAUGAGGAGGAGGCUCCUCAGGAGGACGCCAAGCCAAUUGGCGAUGUAAUUAGGGCUUCGGGAAAAGGAAGAGGGAGGAGGAAUCACUAUGAGGCCUUCGAAUAUGAUGGAAUGCGAUAUGAUUUGGUAAAUAUUAAUUCGAAAUUCUCGUUAAUUGGAUUCAUUUCUUGGGUAAUACUUAUGCUCAUAAGUAAGCAUUUCAAACAAUAUCAUUGCUGAAUUGUAUGCAACUUUGUUGAAUACUUUUAGAAAUUAGUUGUAAUUGUAAGCUUCGACCCAUUAAUUAGAAGUUGAGGCUAAAAAAGGGUUAUUUUGUGCAGAACAAGAACUAGAGUUCAUACAAGCCAUGUUAAAUGAAACUAAUAAGCACGAAAAAUACAAAGUAAGGUUCCUGCUACGGUUAUGCCUGUAUAUUCGUGGUACAUGUGAAGGGUUAGAGAGGGAGAAAGAGCCUAUCUUAUGCUCUUUUUUUUUUUUUGGUUCCCUACAAAUGAUGUGAGAAUUCUCUUACUCUAGAUUUCAAAUAACUUCAGGAGGAAUUAGUUGAAAUCUGUUGCUAUAUAGCUGAAACUCAUGUAGGGUGGAUUUAAAGUCCUUUAUGCCCGGUUCAUCCACCCAAUGAAAAUUUUCCGGGUCAAGCUGUUAUAUGUAUCUUUGGAGCUUUGAAUCAGGGACUCAGAGUCCUGUGUGUAUUGGACGAAGGGGAACCUGCAAAUGUAGUAUUAGGAGGAUCUUUUGAUAGGUAAAAUCUGACCAUGAGAGGAGACAAGGAAGACUAUGUAUGGGGCAUGAAAUUCUAGGCUUUCUGUUUCUACCAUUUUAAUUGAAAGUAAAUCUUUUAUAGUGCAAAUGAUCCUUAGCUGGCAUGGUGUAACGAAUGUCAAUUAUGGCAACCUUUUUCUAAGUGGUCAUUUGAGCAUCACAUGAGCAUCUUGUUGUAGAUACUGCUGUUUGCAUGUGCCCAUUUGGUGGCUGUGAAAUCAUUUGGAACUCGUUUGAUGCUUCUGUUGUUGCUUUUACUUUACCACACUUGAUUGAUGACCACAAUAAUAUUUACCUUCCUAGAACUCCUUUUUCUUGAUAAAGGUUGUGAAUUCUAUACUGAUUUGGUGUGGGAGGCAAAACAAUUGGAUAUAUUAUCCAUAUGAAAGUUUAUACAUCUUAAAAUGCUGAAAGCAUCUGUUAGUCAAGCCUACUUAUUUUAGUAGACUUUGGGCAUGUACCAGGUUUCUGGCUCCUACUGAGCUAAAAGUUAUUUUGAGUUUAUCUUAAAUGCACAUGGCUUUUGCUAUGCGCUUAAUGUAAGCUGAAGAAGCUGGACUGGAAAUACGGCCCCUGAGGUGGUUGCAGAAACACUUGUUGGCUUCUUUGGAACUUUUAAACCAAAAGCAUGUUUUCAACCGUUAAAAAGCUUAUUUGAUGAAUACUUUCUUUAAAAAGCUUUAAAAAGCUGAAGAAUUUCGGAUGAGGCUCUGUUUUUGAUGUAAAAAGCUUAUUUGAUGAAUACUUUGUCAAUAAGCUGAAGUCUAAAAGAUUCAUUAGAAUUUACAGCUUUUAGGAAAAUAUCUGAAUAUGUAUGAAGAUUUUUUGCUAUGCUCUUCCUGAUAAUGAAGAAGAAGAGAGAGAAGCGAAGUGGACAAAAAUGUAUAUUGCAAGAAAUUAUUAACAUGUAUCACAUCUGAUCUAUUUCUGUUUUGUAUCCAAACAUAUUCCUGUGUUGAGAUGCAAGCAAUCAAUUACAGUAAAAUAAAAUUUUAUAAAAAGUAGUCAUAUGAAGAAUGUUUGAGAUCUUGAUCAGGAAUUCUGUGUUUCAUUACAUGAUGGUCAAUAUAUCUGCCCCUUUUAGAAGCAAUUACUAGUAAAAUAGUUUCUGUAGAUAUAUUUCCAUGUCUAACUUGCUUUAGUUUUCUAUCUUUGAUUUUGCGAUAGGAGGAUCCUCUGCUCUUAGUGCCUGAGGAAGCAAAUCAGAAGCCUUAUGUGGCCAUUAUCAAGGUAUGUGUGAAUUGUCAUAAAUCCUGUUGCACAAGCUGAACAUGAAGACUGAAGAUUAUAUACCCAUUCUAUAUUUUUGAGGAUAUUUCUAUUUUAAACUGCAAGUGUGCAGUAAUGUGAAGAAAUUAUGAAGAAGAAUGAAAGACAUAUAUAACAAGUAUUUUUCAUGGUUUUGCUCGUCCUCUUGCCAUUCUUUCUAUUUCCCAGUGGGGGUUAUAUUCCAGUGGACUUUUUUGUUUAGCUAAUGAGCUGUCUCAUAGGCUUCUUUGGUGGUGGAUCAUUUUGUUGGUCUAUUGGGCUUUGAAACUAUAGAAUUGUUGAAUAGACUCCUUAAUGUACCUUACGACUUCCUGAGUUUUCUGUCCUGCACAUUGCUUCAAUAACGGUUGUCAAAGGCUGAUUGUUGAAAUGGUUUUGCUAUAUUCAAUGCUGUUUUCAGUUUUUUCUUUUUCCCUAAAGAUUAUCUAUAUUGGUUGUCUAGAGCAUUUACCUGGUCCCUUAGUGGCAUACACACUUUAUAGGUGAAAGGCCUAAUGCGUUGUUGUUAGUUGGUUUUUGUGCAAAUGAUUGUAUUAUACUGGAGUACGUUGAUACUGGUUUUUCGGCAUCAGUAGCUUGGCAAAUUUGCAGAGAAUGUUUCCAGUUGUGUAGAAUUGGUAUUUUUUCAGUUGUGGCAAAUUUGCUUCUGUUUUCAGGACAUUUCUCAGACAAGAAAUGGCAGCUUGAUGGUCACUGGGCAAUGGUUUUAUCGCCCUGAAGAGGCAGAAAAGAAAAGUGGUGGUAAUUGGCAAUCCACUGAUACGCGAGAGCUGUUUUAUAGUUUUCACCGGGAUGAGGUCCCAGCAGAAUCUGUCAUGCACAAGUGUGUGGUGCAUUUUAUACCUCUGAACAAGCAGAUUCCCCCACGGAAGCAACAUCCAGGUUUCAUAGUGCAAAGGGUAUACGACACUGAACAAAGAAGGCUUUUCAAGCUUACAGAUAAAGAUUAUGAAGACAACAAACAGGAAGAGAUUGAUCUCCUUGUUCAGAAGACAAUGUCACGCUUGGGAGAUCUUCCUGACAUCGAGCCAGAGGAGGCAGCUACUGAUCAGGAACAUCAGUUGAGAAACAAGAGACUGUUGAGGAAGAAGAGCAUGACUCAGUUGGAUGUUUCCCGAGAGGAUGAAGCAUCUACAAGAUCUGGGCAGUCUUUUAAAGCUGAGACUCCAGGAAGUUGUGCUAGUAAUGCAUCAGAAUAUUACACCAUUCUUUCAAGCUUAAAGGCCCUGACUGGUGAAACACAGUGGGACAAGUGGUUGGAAAGGCUGCUUCAAUCGAUUCAGUUUAUAUGCACUGCCGCUGAUGGGGGGCCGGGUGAUGGAAAGGGGCUACCAGCUCCUGCAAAUCGAAAUGAGGUCAAGAAUCUUAAUGUAAUGGCCAGCUUCUCUUUCAUCAGCUUUUCUAAGAGUAAUUUGACACCUCAUAUCGUGAUGGUUCUUCACUACUACUAUAGUUGAUCUACAAGAAUCUGCAAAUUGGCACUGGAUGAUCUUUUCUAUUAUAUAAUUGUUUAAUUUAAUUUUAUAUGUUUAGAGUGGUUUGCCUUUUCACUGGCCGGACAGCGCUGUUUCUGCUAUAGCUGCUCUUGAAAAGGCUUCUCAUGAAGCUUUAUCCUCAGACUUUCAGAAGUAUAACCAAAAGAUGCGGCAAUUGGCUUUCAAUCUUAAGGUGAACAGUAUCUGUAUCUGUCAUGUGUUUGAUGAUUUAUUUUAUUCUUUAAGGUCUGUUUUCGUGAGAUGGGAUGAAAAUUGGAUUGUGGGUGAACUUAAUAUCCUGAAGUUUCAUGUUUCAGUGUUGUGAUGAUGAUGUCUUUCCUUUUCUAAAUAAAAGAUAAGGAAACCAUUCUUUGUGGUCUUUUGAUUCCUGAAGCUAUCAUUCUUCCCAUCUUCUGAUUCUCUUGGGGGCUUUUUCUUCAAUUCUGAACCAUUUGCAGAACAAUGCAGUUUUAGCAGGAUGACUUCUGAAGGGAGAGUUGGAGCCUUCACAAAUAUUGAGCAUGACACCUAAUGAGUUAAAGGUAUAGCUGUUACUUUUUUUCAUGAUCUAUAAUUUCCGGAUGAUUCUCCUUUAAUCGUUCAUUCUAUUGGAUGAAUAAAUUGUUCUCUUCAGUGAUUCCUGUGUCGGCAAUCUUCGUAUUACACUUAGAUUCAUUCUAUAUUCUUGUACACGAAUAUGCAUCAUUUUUUAUUCGUAUAAUACAAUGCAUAAAUGGUGCAUGGUCCAGUUGUAUCCAUGACAUUAUGUACAGCUGGUCUAGUUUUCCUAACAUGGCUUUUUACUCCUGAUUUUGUAAUACUAGAUAAUUGCUAUCAGCAAUAUUUUUACCUUGUUAGCCUUUUCUUUUAUGCUUCAGGAGGGUUUGACAGCAGAGGAGAUAGCGAGUAGGAAGCCUGAGGAGUCAGAACACAGGCAGGUAAUCAUCUCGAUUUGUGGAUUUUCUGGAGAUUAACUCUUUAGUUUUGGAAGGAUAACUAAUAAAAACUUGCAUUGUGUAGAGAUAACUUUUUGAAAACUUGUUUUCAGUCACAUAGAGCCAGCAAUUUUCUCUUAUUUCGUGGAAUAUCAUCUGGAAUUUUGUCUAUAUGCCUGUAAAAAUUUCAGCCGUCUACCUUGGAACGAUGGAGUUUAUUAUUAUUAUUUGGCUGGAGCCAUGGAGAUUUAAAUGGACUAUAUGGGAAUUAGUUCUGGCUAUAGUUGUAUCCAUGAGAUUGACCUGACAAUACAGUAGUAGGUUUUCAUGGCUCCAUCGUGUUAGAAUUGUUAUUAUCUUUUUAAAAACGUUUCUGCGAUAUUUCUGGUGAGGAUAUUACUUUCUCUUUUUUUAGGCUAAAGGAUGUACAAGUGUUGUUAACGCUGUGAUUUGGCUUAUGAUACAGAUGACAGAUGCUCGCUGCAAAAGGUGCAUGGAGAAGAAAGUGGUUCUUAUAGAUAUAAUUCAGACUGGCCAUGGAGAUCGUUAUCAGGUUUGCACUCAUACGCAUUGAACUUGUUUCUCGAUUACCUUGCCUUGUAUGAAUGCAAGCAUAUUAUCUGCCAUAGUUCAUGUUAUUUUUUACUUAAUCCAGAUGCAAGAUAUACUUUAUCUUUCACUCUCUUUAGCUUGCUCACUCCUGGAUGUCCACUUGUUAAGUUGUACCAAUGUGCUAAUAUCUAUUUCUUCUUCUUUUUUUUCAAUCCCAAUUUCUCAUAAUUUUUCUGGGGUUUUUUUUGUUUUGUUGGUUUUAUCUUUUUCCCUUUUUCUUUUUGCCUCUUCUCUCUUUUGGUUAAUGGGAAAUUUUUUUUUUUUUUUGGGGGCUGAUCUUAAAGAGUAUGGUUGGCUGAUGUUUGUGUUACUUGAUGUUGAUGCUUAGAGUUAGAGGCGUUUAUUUUCCACAACAUACUGAGAAAUUGAGAAGUGUAUGGUUUCUUGCAGCAAUGAGAGUAAGUUUUUCGAUACUGCGCUUCAUCCCUAGGUUAUGUAGAAAGGAGUCAGUUUUGAGGAUGAGCCUGCUGUCAACUUAUACAUCGUACCCCACUUGUUUUUUUUUUUUUUUUGGGGUUUUCCCUUUUCUGGGCGGUGUGGAGUUUCCAUUGACUUCAUAUUUUCCCCCAUCCGGUCUUGGUGAAAUUUUCAGCUGGAGUGCAAUGCUUGUGGCAACAACUGGUAUGCUUCAAGUGAUGAAGUAUCUACGUUGACGAUAGAUGAGCCAAGUUCUGCGAGGACUGUUGGAACCGUACCUUUGGCGACUGCCAAGUUCGAAGAUGUGGAAAAGAAGUUGGUUAGUCCUCGUAGACAUGACAAGUCAGCAGAUGAUGGGUUUAAGAAGACGAGUGAAGCUUUUGUGGCCGUGCUGGACAGCCAGAAAUAGUCAUGGAAGCCUGCCUAAAAGUAUAUAUAAAUUAUUACUGUAUGAUACUACUAAAUACUAAUGGUGGCAUGGUGCUACGAGUCAUGUUCUCUCGAAUUUUUAGGGAUUUUACUUGUCUAUGGCGUUAGAGACUAGUUUGGAUGGGUAAUCAUGCCUAGGUGUAGUGUAUAGACAUAGCAAAUGUAAAACGCGGGAACCUUUGCAUGGUGGAGCUUUAGGCUUUUAUAGGAGGAUGUUUGUCUAGUGAGUAAAUCCAUAGGUGAGAGCUUUGGUUAUUGUUUAUGGAAGAAGUUUGGUUUACAAAGUGGGCAGCGUGUUUUUAUCUAUGCUACUUUUCCCCUUUUGUUGUCUGUUUGUUGUUUUUCUGUUGUCUGCGAGCAAAAUAACCUACGAACGUGUUUAGAAGUGGCAAGCAAGGAAAUGGCAAAAAAUGAUCAUUAAACAAUUCAACGUUUCUUGUUUUAAUCAGUAGACUAGCAAAAACGAUCAUUCAACUAAAUAAAACAACAUAUAUUUUGUAUACUUUUACAUUUUAUUAAUUGAAUGAAUGACCAAGACAAGAAUGAACUUCUUAGUUUAGCGACCAAAGUAUCGAAUCCGAAGUACUUCAACGACCAUUCUUUUGUAGUUUGCUCUACUAGUACUCAAUAUGGAUGGAGGCCCGAGAAAAGUCAGACUGGAAGAAACUGGAAUAAAGAAAUCGGCUUUAUCUAGAACAUGAUCACUACUUUUCUUCACCUGCCAUAUGACAUAUACGUAUCUGCACGAAGACUGAGAAUAGUUUGUCCAGCAUAUUUCGUCGCUAUCCAACACCAUUCCUCUUCAGCAACCUAGAAGCAGUAGUAUAUUUUUUGUUGGCACAUGUCCCUGUUGCAUAUAUUUUUGUUGUCCACAUCUAAUCAAUUUACGUUGUCUAUUGCUAUCACGUACUUGGCAGCUAUGACGAAUAUCCCAUCGGGACAGGUUUGACUCUCUGGUCCUGGAAGAUGAGCUAUGAGCUAUGAAUCUAGAUGGUCAAUCUUCCCCUGCUAAAUAAACAUCUCUCCUCCAUAUUAAACUAAACCCUUUUCUUUUCCGCUAAAAUUAAAAAAAAAAAAGAAAGAAAAUUGCUUUCUACCAAUUUGUAUUCAUAAGAACUCGAAUUCAUUCAUACUUGCUCAUCUUACCAUAAAAACGAAUGGAAUACAUAGAAUAUAUAGACUCGUGGAACUCAGAUUUCUUUUGGAUUCAUUGUGGCAAAAUGUUUCGUUCGUGAUUCUUCCAUAUGUGCAAUUAGCAAUUGCUCAUUGAACAGAUUGAGAUAACCUUGGAUAAACAGAGAAAUGCUCAAAUAUAGUUGUGGCAUCCCUCAAUUACCUAUGUAACAACCACCAGGCAAAACAAAAGGGAAAAAUAAAAAAUAAAAAUAGACACAAAAGAAAAAGAACUAAAAAAAAAAAAGAAAAAGAAAAAACCAACAACAACAACAACACUGGUCAUGAUGGAUCUCUCAGAAGAUGAAGAAGUUUUUUUUCUUCUUGUAAUUAUUGCAUGAAAUUCUUACAUAGAGACUAGGUUGUGUAACAUGAAGAUUUUGAUCGAAAGAAACUUUGUGCUUUGAUCGUGAUUGCACAGACAUGAACGGUUCUGUUCUUCAACGUGUCAAAAAACAAAUACAAUAUCUAUCUAUACAAGAAAAAGAAAAGAAAAGAAAAGAAAUCGAUAUCUGCAGCUGUGAUCAAAAUUCACUUGUGAGAUAAUCCAAAUCCAUUAGCAAGUGCAUGAACUGCAGGAUUGAAUGCAAGUCUUCCCAAAAUCCCCUGCUUGUAAGGCAAGAAGGUCUUCUUCUUCAGAUCUUCGGAAACUGCUUUGUUAACAGUAUAAUGCAAUUCGUGAGCAGAAACAGGACUCCUCCUCCUUGAUGGAACCAACCCAGAAGGGCUAUCAAUACUCCUCAUGCUCGAAGUCCUCACAUCUUCACGUCUCCUGACUGCAGCUGUAUAUUUUUUCAGAGGAUCUUUGUCGGCUGCUCUGCCUUCUGAUGCGCUUCGGAAUAAGAAAAAGUCUUUGAAUUUCCAUCUCUUGUACCCUUUUGAAAAUGAAGCCAAAGCUGAAGAGGCAAAGUUAGAUGCACUUUUGGCAAUGAUUGAUGACUCGCUUCUAUUCUGCUGCUGGCUGCUCUGCUCUUCUUGUUCCCAAGGAUACCGAGAAACCCUUAAAGGAGAGAGCGAUCUUGUUCCUCUUCGGCUCGAUGAUUUCAUCCCUGCAGGAGCUCUUUCCCUUCCUCUAUCGGCCCUCGGCGAUCUUUGACCCGUUGUUUUGGGUGAAUGACUAAAAGGGGUGGAGGAUUCUCUCUUGUACCUCGGCGAGAACCCCAACACAAUCUUCUUGCGCUGUGAUGCCGAUGCUGGCGAUGUUGGGGAUAGAUUAAUUGAGCUUGAGCCACUGAUUCUUGCUGCAGAAGGAAGUUGUAGUCCAGGCGGAGGCUUGAAAGGCUUAAUUACUCCGCCAUCAAACAGUUCUUCAGCUGACAGAGAUGCUGUUUCCAAAUCAUCAAGACCAACAUGAAAAGCAAAAUCAUCAUCAUGUUUUGUGGCGGCGGCCUUGGGUGAUUUUGGGGUACCAGGCUUUUCUUCCCAGUCAAAAGGCACGGCCGCUUCUGAAUAAGAGCCUUCUCCAUUGCUGAUAUUCUCGUUGAUCCUCAGGAAUUCAUCAAACUCCCGGUAAAACUGGGAGAGCCGAGAUGGGCUGGCAGGAGCACUGCAGUAGACAUCUCCAAAAGCCUUUGGGGUACGAGGACUGCUGGAAUGAUGCAUUGGAGAAGAACGAGCACUAUUGAAAUCAAAAUCCAUGUUUUGAUGAAUUGGCACCACAAUUUCCAUCUUCUCCACAAACUUCGCCGACACUUUCGGCUGUUUAGGAGUCUGCUGUGGAAAAUAGCAAAGCAAAAGUACUAGCAGAGGCAGAUGCCUAACAACUCCUUUGGUUCAGCUAUAAGAAGGAAGUUGCAGCUUACAAGUAGUAUUGGAAUAGUAGUGGUAGCAGGAAAGAAGAGAGAAAGAGCAGCCAGAUAUUAUUGACUCGAAGAGGUGUAAGAGGAGGAAGAAGAAGAAGAAGCCGCCGCCAUUUAUUACUUUUGUGGUCGGAUGAUUCCUUGUCACCUUCUCCUAUUUAUCGACUUCGAUGCUCAGCUCCAAGUGUUUUAAUUUUGCGCGACAAGCAUUAAUGGCCCCGCAAAGUACAAAUUUUCCUUCAAGUAUAAGGAUAAUGGUUGUUAAAAAAUAUAUUACCAAAGCCACGACAUGCGUAAUGAAUUAAUUUCAUAAAGCGUUAAUUUUCAUCCUGAUAUCACUUGAUACAAUACACCCAAAAAUCAAACUUACCGCCCCCUAUCAAUAUGAUGUGUUUAGAUGUCCCGAGACAUUGAAACUACAAAGUUACCUCCAAUAUCUUCCUACUUUUUUUAGGUAGCAAAAGGUUGGGAAAAUAUUUAAAAAAUACAAGCUAAAAUAUCUAAAAACAAAUAAUAAGAAUGCCAUCUAAAAUAUUUUUCUCCUUCUUUAAUCUUUGCUUGUAUUUUUAAUGUUCGUCGUUGCCAUAACCGGUCUCAUAAAAUUUUCAUUCUAAUUUCCCUCUUCGUGGCAAAACUUUCGUGUUUCUUUGCUCUUAAUUUCCUCCUUGUUUGUUGUGACCAAUCUCUUGAAACUUUUGCCUUUUUAUAAUGUUUAAUUUCGUCCUUGUUCCUAUUUAUUGCAGUUACACCUUCUUAUAUUAUAAAUUUAAUAUUCCACCUUAUUGGUCUUUUUUUCAUAUUUCAAAAUUCACAAAUCAAAUUGCAUGAGGAUAAAAGUGGAAGGAUAACAUAAUCUCUCUCCUCCAAUGCUUUUUUUUUUUUUUCAAUAUUACUUUUAUACGUAAGGGGUGACAAUGUUACACAAAUUAUCAUUCAAGGGGAGCCAUAUGAAAUUUCUGAAACUUUAAGGGUGCUAGGUGAUAUUAUGAUAAAUCUCAGGGAGGUUCCUGAUAUUAACGCUUUCAUAGAUGGGAGUAGUUUUCUUAUUACGGAAUAACCUUUGAAUCAAUGGGGCAUGCAUGUCCCUCGAGGACCAAUGCUUGAUGUCACGUUUGCCUGGCCUCUACCCCCAAAGAUGAAAGUCCUGAAAUUAUAAAAUUAAGGAGGCAAUUUCACACGAUCAACAAAACGGGUUAAUGUCCCUAUUAGUUCGUCAGGUUGGAUUUUUGGAAACGAUUCUCUUCAUUUUUAAUCUUGUACUUGCCCAAUUUCAAUACUAUAGUUUUGCCUGAACCAAAUUAUCUCAUUAACAAAUAAAAUUUGCGGAAGAAAUCUCGGACUAGAUUGAUUGAAAUGGUAUCAUAUUUUAUAAAUUUUCAAACUCUUUUUAUUCUUUUUCGCUUUGAAUCAGUGCUUGUAUUUUCUUCUGGGGCACUCAAGAUAAUAGUUGACAAUUGAAUAGUAAAUUCCUCUGGAUAACAAUAUUGAUUUUUUUUUUUUUUUGUAGCUGUAAUCAACCCAUUUAAAUGGAAUUGAUGAUGGGGAACUUCACCGUUGACAUUGCUAUUAUAUUUGGCUUGAGUAAACGGCAUGAAAAAUUGAAGAGAACGUAGAAUAAGAAGAUGACCCCAAUUGAUAGGUAAAAUAUUUGUAUAAAAUCUGACACUCCAGUUUCUAGAUGCAGCCAGGGAUCAAUUACUUGGACAAAAUUGACAGCAAAAGGCCAGAAAGGAGAUUGAGUCGCCUAAAACGUGGGAUAUUAAUUAGGCAUUAGUUGGAAUAAGAGGACCUUCAAACAGUGCUGUUUUACUCGAAUGACAAACUUGUGUUUUAUGCAUGCCACGAAUGCAUUUGCUCCCUGAGUUAAUAAAGUGUAAAAAGCAACUUCCUAUUUUCAAUGAUACGACUUUCACUCCUCUUUUUCCUUCUUUCUUUUGACAAAUAGUGAUUCAAAAGCGAACCGGUGGCGGUAUUAUUGACAAAAUGGAGUGCUAGCCCUGCCACAGACUACCAUGUGAGAUUGAAGGAACAUAUUAAUAAUGCUCCAAGUUUAUACUUUACAUGAUCUAAUUUUGAAAAGAAACCCACAGUUAGAGCUGUUAAUCGAAUCGAGUAGCUCGCGAGCCGAACUCGACCCGGUUCGAUAAGGGCUCGACUCGGCUCGUUUAUUGAGAGAAACGAGCCGAGCUCGAGUUCAACUUGAUGCUCGUUUAAUAGACGAGCCGAGCUAUGCUCGACUCGUUUAAGCUCGAUAGGCUCGAAUAGUAGGGGUAUUAGCGUAAUUUCAUUGUGUAUUUGAUACUCUACAGGCUCGAUAGACUCGACAGGCUCGAGUUCGAACUCGAAACUACUAUAAAUAGUAGGAGUAUUAGCGUCAUUUUUAUUGCGUAUUUGAUACUCGACAGGCUCAAGUUCGAGCUCGAUAAGCUCGACUCGAUUUUGAACUCGAGUUUGAGUUCGAGCUCGAGUUUUCUAUCGAUCACAUCGAGUCGAUCUCGAAUAGUUUGUGAAACUCUAAUUACUAAUCGAGCGAGCUCGAGCUGGCUCGAUUAGGGGUUCGAGUCGAGCUCGAUUAUCACGUGCUCGAGCUCGGCUCGGCUCGUUAACAGCUAUACCCACAGUGUGAGUUAAUUGUUAUGAAUCCAUUUCAUUUACAUAUGUUAUGAAACAUAAUCAUUCAAUCAUAAAUCUAUUCAUUUCUCUUUUUGAUAAAACAUAAGUCAAUAGUAUUAAUAAUCUAACUAGAAAUCGUCCAUCACGAUUUGCUCGGCAAAGUAAUCCGCACCAAUGACAGAAAAUACAUUGAACAUGUCACAGAUAUAUUUGAUUUAAAAAAUUACAAGAUUUAAUAGAGUUACAAAACAUAAAAAAAUUACACAGUGAUCGCAAAUCAUCGAAUCUGACCAAUUGAACGAACUGCCCAUAGAUGUCUGUGCAUGUCUAUUCUCUUACACCUACUAUCCAACUCGCCAUAAAUCUAUUCAUACUUGUUAUAAAUUGUAGACUCCAGUCAAAAAAAUACCGCUAUUUACAUUGUUUUCGAGACAUCUCGCGCGCAUUUUCCAUCUAUCUCUUCAUCUAGAAAUACACAUCCAUCCAAGAAGGCGUUAUUGUGACAUCUUUUGCAUGCAUCUAAUGUAUGGUCCACGAGCAAAGUCUUGCAUUGUUCGUCUACAGUGGCUCCAUCUGGCAGCGCAGUAGAUGAAGCAAUAACUUCCGAAAUAGACUCAGCUUUCGGCGCAGCUUUUGGACAGAUGCGUUGCAGUCCCAGAACGCAAACCGUUCUCUUCUUUCACAUAUGGCGGUGGUUGCUGCCUGGUUAGGCUUAGCUAAAUUGAAGGAAGUUGCACGAUCUCGUUUCUUUUUUUUUUUCCUUAGUGCACCCUUAGCCAUGAAAAUGAAAUCAAAUUAAACAGGUAGAUGCCCUAAACUAUUGAUGCCUACAGUUGAAAUAUAGAAUUACCCGUCAGGCUAACUUUGUAUUUUCUCUAGAGAGAAGAGUACAAGAUUUUCUCAUAGACUACUGGUCGAUAUUGGUAAUAUAUACUUUAAAUUCAGCGGAAUUUAAUACUAGUAAUAUAUUUCCAAUUAUUUGUCUAUAUUGGUCGGGUUCAUAUAAGGUUUUAUAUAUUUAAUCAUCAAAUUGCAGCUCUUUUUUUUUUUCUUUUUUUGAGAAUUUAUUACUUUGACAAGAAGAUGAUUCUGUAAUAGGGUUGAUCGUUCUUGCCAAGGUUAAGAUUCCAAAGUUUUCUGUCUAUUCUUCAGCUGGUGCAAUAAUCGGCUCAACGGCGUAGCUUAGCUGAAGAAAAUUUGCUUGAACACCUUCCAAUAUUUUCCAGAAAGUGUUAGUUACCAAUUUGUAGGUGAUGAUUUCGAAAGCAACCGACAACUACCAUUUUCCUUCACGUACAAGACAGGGUCCUAUGAUCCACGUACAGCAAAUACGAUAGCAUGCAGUGGAAUCUGGGACGAAAAACUUGCUGCUAAUGCAUAUGGUUGUAUAGCCGGCAAUUUUUCAUCAAAAUAAGAGUUGUGUCAUUUUCGUUGUCCAUGAUAAUAUGUCCUUAGCAUUGGUUGGUGGCCUACUCAACGGUUAUUCAUCCGGGGUACUUCAUCGUUUGCGUUGUCUCAAGUGAACCGCCAUGUUCUAAUUUGGCAGCUACUAUUUACCGGGAAGGAGAAGACAGUUCGUUAGAAAAAGAAGAAGAAGAAAAAACCCGUCUAGCUUAAUAUCAACCUAUGGCAAGAAAAUUGCGCAAUUCACUAUCCAAUUUCGAUUUUGCCAAGCGUUAAUCGUGCAGAAUUCUUUCUAACAAAUUAGAUGAUGACGAUGGUAAUGGAGAUCGGCUAUUAAAAGAAAAAGAAGAAAAAUAGUAAAAGAUUUUCCUAAAUUCUUAGAAGAUAAGCUUCAAAAAAAAAUAGGCAAUAUCUUGAGUUUGCAAUAAGGUUACAAACGAGCUGAAUCGAAUUGAAUUUUAACCUAAUUCAGUCGACUUAAUUUCACUAAACUCGAGCACAAGUUCAAACUCAACGAACUCUCAAUGUAAAACUUGGGUUCGAGUUGAGUCGAACUCGAGUUCGAGUUUAAAAAAUAAAAAAUUAUUAUUUUAUUUUUUAAAAAAAUGGAUAAAUAGUAAUUUUACUUAACAAAUUAUAAAAUAUUAUAAAUUUAUAUGUAAUUUCACUAUUAAAAUAAAAGCUAAUAUAUAUACAUAUAUAAUCGAACCGAUUCACGAGUUAACGAGUUAAGUAUCUUUAAAUUCAAGUUCGACCUUAAACUUUGAUUUAAUCAGCUCGAACUCGACUCGAGUUGAUCGAACUCGAGUUGAGUUUUGACUCAAACUGCUCGCGAUUGGCUCGACUCGUAUGUAGCCUAGUUUGCAGUUAGCCAGCAGCAAUAAAGUGAAUAUUUUAUGUUUGACUACAAGAGACAAAAUGGAGCCAUCACGUUUAGCUUUUAUAUUUGCCACUGAUUCAUUCUUAUCUCUCUUCCAGUUUGAUUAUAUUCUUCCCAAAAGGGGUGUGAACAACCAAAAUUCAUAAUAAAAACUAUUGGUAUUGUCUUUUUACAUAGGGAUCUCAAGGUAGCGAGCGACUUGUAAUCCUCGUGCCAUCCAUUUUGUUUCUUUUUAUUUAUUUAUUUAUUUAAUUGGUUGGAACCUCAGACAGCGAAUUAAACUAAUUGUAUUUGAUUAGUUCCAACGGGUAAUCUUAGGGAGACUGCUGCGUUGUGGGCUUGUGGCACACGGGAGACGACCGUCUAGAAGGACAUGUUGAUGACUGCAGAUUUCUGAAUAUUCUUGGAUGAACUUAUUCACCAGAAACGUAGUUCUAAAGCUGCUAACAACACUCCUACUGGGGAGUACUAUGUUGGGAGUUUUUGGUAGAGACUAGGAAAAUUCUGUCCAAUUUACGUGCUACUUACGACUAAGCAUUGUUAAUACUAUGUAUCAACUUAGCAGAAGCCUAAAUUGGACAGAGCUUUGGCGGAUUAAACAUGGAAUGGUAGUGGCAAUUAAAAUUGUUAAUCAAAAUUAAGAUGAAUGCUUUGCAACUCUUGCUUAGCAUCAACGAAACACCGUGUUCUUACGACAUAAAUUCCAUUACCAGCAUUUUUUUUUCCCCUUAAAGAAAGAAUUGAAUGAGCCUUGCGAAAAAGAGACGAUAUAAGAGUAAUAAAGUAUGUCAUGAUCACCUGAUUAAUAUUCUGACAAGUUGAAAAGCAUCAUGGAUUGGAGACAACACCAGCUCAUUCCAAAUUUCUGCGAAAGAGUAACCACACCCUUAAAAUAUCUGAUUCGUCUGCAAGAAGAAUCAGUAAAACAAGAAGAAGAAUUUUAAGCUUCAAUUUCCUCGAGGAUGAUAUUCCUUUUGCAGAAAGUGCUUCGUGACAACAAACGAACUGUACUGCAUCAUCAUCACUGUGAUCUUCUGGGUCGGUGCCAUUUCCCCUUUCAUGCAAGUUCAAUUUGUAGUCUAGCGCACGAUGAUGGUAUGGGAUUUUCUUUUGAAACCGGAAAUUUAUCCAUUUGGUUGAUGCUGAUACGUCCUGACAUUUUUUAUGACAGUGACACAAAAAUAGUUGUUGCAUGUAGCUUGGAACCGUUCUGGAACGUUGAUGGCCAAGAUUUGACUCCAAAAAAAAAAAUGUAAGAUUCAGAUUUCAUCUUGCACAUAAUUUUUUACACUAUGUGUGGAAUCCACAAAAUUUUAUUCUAUAGUUAUACGCUGUGUAAAAUGAGUUACAUCGUGUGUAAAUUAAAUUAAAUCUUGUGCAAAAUGCACAAAAUCGCUUCGGACGAUUUUUCUGUUAACUGUUCCUGCCCUCGUCCAGCUGGCUUGGUCUCGAAAAAGCAUUCUCGUCUUCUCAUACUAACUUCUUGCAUCAGGUUUAGCAGUAAGGGACUGAUAUUGGUACGUACCCUUGGAGAUUGUUUCUUUAAAGAGCAAGCUACAAAAAUUACAAAUCGAAAGAGAGCAAAAAGGAAUAGAAUUCAGAGUUCUAAAGUCUUUGCGUAUUCUAAACUUCAAAUUCAAAAGAAAUACCUAAGGAAAGGCAGGUUCGUUGUAGCACAGCACUUGUCGGACCACGAAUUGAUUUUGAUCAAAUACUUUUUAAGUCUAAAACAAAGAGAACGAAACAUAAACUUUUUAAGUGUGUUGCAGAGAAAGUUGUAACUGCAUCAUGGCACAAGGAACUGGUUGAUUUCUCAUAUUUCUUAACCUUUCUUUUUCGGAAAAGAUUAUAGUGAGGGUUGGACUUUUUAAUGUUACCCAGUUUCAUUGAUUUUUUUUUUUUUUUUUUUUUUUUUGAGACUGCACCAACAGAAUGCCAUAAUACUAUGAUGAAUGCAAACGACUCGUGGGCCGUCUCUCCGUGGUUUCAGAUUUUCAAAGCCCAUUUUCUUUGGGCUCUAAAGUUGAUCUGCUUUCUCGUGGCGGUCACCAAGUCAUUGCGAAGAUCCAGUUAGUUGCAAUGCUUUGCGCGACGAAAAUCUUCAGUGGGCUACACCCAAAUGUGCAGGCUGGCCGCUCCUGAAAUGAAUCUACACGUGACUUGACUUGCCCCUCCAAAAGCUUGAAGCCUAGUUUCCCCAAAAUAAAAGAACAACUUACUAAUUUUUUGGUUGAAGACCAAGGGACUCGUUAAAAUAGAUUUUGCUUCUUUUCUUUUCAAUUUUUUUAGGAAACUUUUUUUUUUAAGCUUUUCUUCAGGAAACUUUUCAUAAAUGAACUGUACUAGUACAGGCAAGGUUACUCCUUUUCUAUUUUAAUUUCUUUUAGUAAGGAAAGAAUAAAACUUAAGAAUAAGUAGAGGAGAGGAGGAUUAAAACUUAGGAUCUAAAUGCUAAGAGGGAAAGCUACUCUAACUAACAUACAACAUGAUUUUUUAGGCUCUGUCAUGCAUUAAUAAGUUUGAGACAUGUCGUUUGGAGGGGUAGGCAAGGCUGAAAAAUAAACUACAUUACUCGAUACUUGAAUUGAGUUCAAUUACAGUUCACUCAAAUUUGAUUCACCAAUCAGUCAAAUGAAACAUGAACGACAUCUCCGUUCCACAAAGUUUCAAGCGUAACUAUUAGCAUGCAUCGUAAAAUUUAUAUGUAAACAAUUCAAAUUACUUGAAAUUAACGCAAAUUCAACUCAGAUAAAAGUUCGUUUAAGUUCCAUUAGAUAAAUAAACAAGUCGAAUUUAAAUAUAAUCCCAAACGCGUCGAAAUAAUAAAAAAAUUUAUUGUGCUCAUUUACAACCUAGGAGCAGAAAAGAAGCCAUCUUGUGCUUCUCUUUUGUCCUUAAAUUUUUGUAAUCUUUGGCAAUAUGGAUGAGGGCGAAAGUGCUAUUCUGCUAGAACUCCUCUUUGUAGAUUGACAUUUGCACAAGGCUGCAUGAUGCUAAAUUUUUGGCCUAGCACCAGCAGUCUCUGUCUCUGUACUGAGCAGCUGUACAUAUUAGGGUGCCAUGGCGUCACAAAAUCGAGGCAAAAGAAAACUUUUAAAGUACCAGACCUCAGAACUCAGAAGCAGGUACGAGAGUAUCACAUGUUCCUCAAAUAAUCCGUCUACGUUAGCCAGUGUUCCACUUCACGGCUGUUUCGUCAAAAGGACAAAAUACACUAUGGAUACGGUUGCAUGAUGGUGUGCAUAUGUCUGUAUAUGUUAAGUGUGGAUGUGAUCCUGUUCCUUCUUCCCUUACUUUGCAAAAAGCAGUUUGAUCUUUGCUUAAAUUUGGACAAAUGAUGACUCGGCCCACAUGAAAAGGACGGUACUAUUAGCACCUCUGUUCCCUGAGCACUUGCAUGAUAAGUUGCUUUUCUUCUAUAUGGGCACAAAUUUUGAUUCUCUUUAGCUGCGUUUCUUCUACUCCUGACCCCCCUCCUGCUGCAUUCCCUGCCUUUCGUUUCUAUCCAGUUCUCUUGCUUGUUUAUUAAUAUUCAGCCAAUUACAAUCCGCUUGAUAUAUUUAGGGUGGGUUCUCGUUUGAUAAGUACACACAAUUUCAGAUUAUUUUGAAAAAUCAGUUUUGUUCUUGUGUUGGUGCUCGCCUUUGUGUUUAGAUUUUAGAAUUUUUUUCGGAUGGACAAAAAAAAAAGUUAAAAUCUAUUAGAAUCUAUCAUGGUUGCAAACGAGCUGAAUCGAGUUUUGACUCAAUAAAACUGGCUUAAUUUCAGCAAGCUUGAACUCGAGUUCGAUCGGCUCAUGAACAGCUCGACUUGUAUGCAGUCCUAGAAUCUAAUCAAUGCUGGAUUAUGCUAAUUCUAAUUAAUUAAACUCUUUUAGCAUAAUCUAAAGAUAAAUGAUACUCCAAGUAUCAGUUAAUUCCGAAUGAAGUAUCACAGAAUUGGAGUGCAUAUUCAUUAGGCCAAUUAGAUCACAAACCUAGGUUGCAUUAAAUUUUUUUUUUGAAAAAAAAAAAAAAAAAGAUGCAUCUACCACCACCACUUAUUCGUGGCAUCUAGAUCUAUCUUUAACGAUAUGAGAGCCUUCCUCCAUUUUGAAAGCUUCCCCGUUACAAGUAAUAACGAAUGAGUCGGGGAAAGAGGUGGUCAGAUUCAUUGCAAAAGAAUGGCCUGUGGAGUUUAGAUUGACAUGUUGGUUUUUAUAUACAUUCUCUACACAUAAAACUAAUUAUUUGACUCUGGAAGAAGAGACAUUUAGGAGACAGGCAGGGCAAAAGAUGCAGAGCAAGGCAGUGUUGAAUCUUGACCAUUCUCUGUAGUCAAAUUGGUUGCAAAACUUAUUAGCUAACUGAAAUCUCCAAUUUGUCGACCAAAGUCGCACGUCACAGCUGGCUUGAGUUGGCUUGUCCAAGGAAUUAAAUAACCGUUGAGAAAGGAUGCUGGUGGCAAUUCUAUCAUAGUCAUCGUCAAUGGAGCUGAAUUUUGUGGAACUUUUCUUGAGUUGAGUCUAAUUUCUGAUGGUUUUUCUGUAUUAAAUGCAAUAAGAAUCUACCAAGGAUGGAACUUUGUGGUUAUGCAUGAACUUGUGCCAUUAGCCACUAGGUGUCUCCCAGCAUAGAUCAUGGAUGCCUUCUCUGAGUGACCCAAGUCUUGAUGAAGAUGAUUUCACACCGCAGAGAUGGUCCACCCACAUAUUCUCCUCUCUUAUUAGCUAGCGGCAUUAACAUGCCUGAGUAAUGGGCUGUCACUGUUCACACCUAAAUUCUUAAAUGAAAAAUCUGUCACUUCGAUUUUCUUCCUUUGCUUAGUAAGUGUCUAUCUGUUGCCAAGGCCAGUGCCACAAAUACUGAGUUUUCUCAAACUCUCAUUCACACUCAAUACUGUGUUUAUAGAAAUUAAACACCGCAUCUUUUCUUGUCUCUAACACCAUAGCAUGUCACAUGUCCUAUAUUUGGACCUUGUGCUUUAGGAGGUGAUUGAGAAAUUAUAUCUAGAAGACUCAUAAAUAAAACUUUGCUCCACAGCAGAAAGCAUCAACCUUCACGUAUAUUCAUGUAGAAUACUAUAAGUAGUUGCGGUUCUUCUACAACGAAAACUAAACAAGAGAAAGGCCUUGGAGAGUUGGUUUGCUUAUCUAAUGCUGGCUGUUUCUUUUGUAUCCUGACUAAAAAUGAAUACUUCAUACAGCCUGAACCCUUUCAACAGAAAAUUUCUUGAGAGUCAAAGUUUACUUACAAGAGUGGAGAAGAUUAUACAUUUCUUGCAUCAUGUAUCUAUAGAUGUAUACACAGACCCAAUGACUAACCAAUGAUAACUAUGUAGAGGAAGGAACUAAACCAAAAUUUAUUCAUGUUUGCAGUAGGUACCUGAAACUGAACUCAUACGGCACAAUUUCAAGAAAUUGUGACAGAGGCUGAUUUCUCUCCCUAUCAAGGCAGCUAAUCGCUUCUUUUCCAAGUUCAAUCGGUAGUUGAAGGCAUAUCCAAUCAACCAGCGAGUCCAAGUCCUUGGCAAAAUCAAGCAUAUACCAAUCCAAUAGUUUUGGAAUUGCCACCACCUUCUUUGUAGUUGAAAUGCCAACUGUGGCCUGCAAGUACUCCUUUUUAGCCACUUCCAGCUCAUUUUCAACCUCAGCUGCUGUGUACAUUCUCACCUUGAUUGAGAAAGCAAACCUCAUCAUUAACAGCAUAGGCAUGCUAAAAACUUAAUAAUGCACUGAUGUAAAAACUAAAAUUCUGCUGAUUGAUAAAACGUUACUUCAAAUCAGCAUUUUCGAGUCUCAAAUCUUAUACACACCUCAGUACACUAGGCAAGAUGUUGGCAAAUGCAAAUUUAAGACAAUUGCAGUCAACAAUACAUAUUGGCAGGAGUCAACAAUAGUUUUCCCAAGUAAUCUACACUUCCAAUUGAGGAUGACUAAAUGAAUUCUGUCUACUCUGUGCACUAACUUACAGCAGGUGAAGACCAGCUACCACAGGAAAGAGCAAAUGUAACCAGUGGUUCUGAUAAUUCCAAUCCAAAAAUGCUACGUGCUGACAUUUCCUCAUUUUUGGCCCCUUUUGCAAAAGUCUGAAAAGACACCACCAUAGCCAGAUAAAACAUAAGCUACUUUAAAUUUUACUUCACAUAAUGCUGGUACUUCUGUCUGAUAAAGACUCAUCUUACAUAUUUUGAAUGAUAUGGCAGUCUGAGUAUGAAAUGCUCAAUAGUUAUCGCAUUGAGAAAAUGACCUCCAACAUUUAUGGUUGCCUGCAUUAUAAGAAGCCAAGUAUCACCAAGAUAUGCAUAGUAUUUCAUCUAUAUAGAAAUAUCAUUUGAGAUUAUGUAUCAAAUUUGUUAUUGAAUAUUGUUGUGAAGGUUAUGAGACAAAAGAGCUUACAUCCAUAUACACUUCUGAUGCAGAUAAUGCAUGUAAGAAAUAACGUUCAGUUUUUGUAGGUCAUUCAAAUCUUUGAACAUGUUAUUCUGGUAACUAAGCUUGUAUAAAUUUUUCUUUCACAUAAUGCAUUAAAUUCCAUUUUCCUUUUGCUUUUCCUCAAGAUCAUUUUCUUCUCCUCCCCCCCCCCCCACCAACUCAUGAUUACUGCAUUCUUUACAUUUUGAGAAGGAAAAAAACUCUUAGAUUACACAAAAAAGGACAAGACAUCUCAAAUAGAAAUACCUUUUGCAUCAAUGCAACUACCAUUUCAGGACUCUCUGGUAUUCCAUGUUCAAGAUAUGCCUGAAUCAAGGUAGUAAAGAACUUACACAUCAAUUACUUAAAUUGAGCACGUGUAAACAUACAGGUGGUAUAGAAAGUUUUAUCUAGUGCGUUUCAUCUAUUUUCCUCUUUUGGGAGUAGGAGAAAUGGUGUUCUGCAUAUAGAACCAUGAUGCAUAUAGGAAAUGAAUGCUGAAAUGAGAUUUAGAUAGAUUCUGCAUUAAUGCAUGUAGAAUCUCACACCUACAUUCAUCAUACAAGAAUUGUAAAUGUUGAUCCAGAAAGCAAGCUUCUCUUGAUGAGUGAGGCCUUUUAAAUCAACUGAUGAUAAUUUCUCAAGUAAAACCCUGAGAACCAAGGGAGACGAGACAUGUAAGAGCACCAGUAAAAGUAUGAAUGAGUAAUAAAGUUUAGAACUGAUUAUGACAGUAACUUACUUUAGUCUAUGAAGUAGGAACACGGAUACUGUGGUUCGGUUUGGAUUGAUAGAGCUUGCCUCUAUAGCAAAUAAAUGUUUAUAUGGACCAAUAUCUCUCUUGCCAAAAUCUGAGCAGAUACCAUAUGGAUCCUUAAAAUCUGCAUCCUCAAAGCCCUCACAAGAACUCAAUGUAGACAGUGAAGGUAAUGAAUCUGCUAUGCUUCCAGUCCUUUUGGAGUUCAUUCUUAAGAAAAUGCUCAAUAAGCAUUUCAAAAUGCUUUCGGAAAUUUUGUUUGGAUUGUCAGUUGCUGAUGAUUUUUCAUCACCAGGAACAGGAGUCCUCCCUUUGCACUCAUGGUCCAUAUCUAACUGAAAAUUUAGAACCUGUGGUCAUUUGAUUGGACAUAUAUCUCAUAGAUUUACAAAGAAAGAAUGAAGUAAGCACCUGUAAUUUCUUGGGUUCUAAGCGCUUGUCUGCUGAUCUGGACUCGAAUGGAGGCCUUUUAACAGGAGUUCUGACAGUUGGUGCUUUGAUACUUGGAGGUUUCUGCUUAUUCUUUGUUGAAUUAGCGCAAAAAUCAUUUUCUUUUCCACGUGCAUCAUCUGAAAAAUCAAACAGAGGCAACAGUUUCUUCUAGUUGUCCUAUCCAUUUUUGACAAGGUAAAUGGGUGAAAGUAGGUAUAGGCAUGAGGUAAAGCCAAAACAACUUGAUCAAAGUAUUACCUGUGAGAAAUGUUAAAUGCCUCCCUCUGGAUACUAUGGAAUUUUCUUCAGCUUGAAUUGACAACUUAGACUGCUUUUGUUUCCAAUCAUUCGUUUGGUACUGGUCACAUACAUCAUGUGAAUUGUCCGUGUUCCUCUUUGACGAUGAGAUGUACACUGCUUCCUGAUACAAUCCUUGCCUGAACUGCACAACUUGCUCUUCAAGCCGAACGACCUCCUCUUCCAAAACAGCAACUUCGGCAAGCAGCUCCAGUGUCUACACAUAUCCAUCUUAGGCAUUCAGGUCACAUUUGAGAUAUUAAAACUCCAUGGAAUUUAUCAAUUUCUUACCAUGACAGGAAUUUUUCAGUAUACAACCAGUUAACAGUAAAGGUAGUCUCACACAGCAGUUGCAUGGUUGCAAUUUCACAAUGAAAUCAAGAGUUUUGUUAUUUAUUCAACUACAUUCUCCCUUCAUGCCUCAACUACAACAUUUAAUUUCACUGUUUGUAAUGCAGUACCUUACUGCAUAUCACAAAUACUUAUCCAGAAAACAGAAAAGACUGUUCCUAUCUCUCCAUAAACAGUAGCUAGUCUGAAAUUCAUCCUCCACAUUGGAAAGGAAAGAGUUUUUUAGAUCAGGCAGAUAAAGAGAAAGAGAGACUAACAUGAGGAGGUAGAUAGGGGGGAAGACGAGGCAAAGCUCCAAGAGGUCUGGUGAAUGCCCUUUCCAAAGCUCUGUGAACAUUUUCUUCUUGUCUGAGUUUUCUCUUCAACUUGUCAACCUAAAAUUCAAAAAUUAGUACCAAAUUGUGAAAGGUUAAAAUGCAGAAUUGAUAAUUAAAAACCUACAUCUUGCUGCAAUGCUUUCUUUCUUUCUCGGAUUGAUACUCGUCUUGUGGUUGCUUUCUGAGCAUUCAUUAUCCUCUUACCAUGUAUUUCCACUUUUUCCUGCAACCAGUAAGAAGAGAAUACAACUGUCAGCUUCCACAAGAAAAGAAUUGGACAUGGCAUAAUAAACAAAAAAGGACACAUACACAUGGGACAAAAGAAAGGCCAGGAAAGAUCAAAAUCAUUGUGGAUUAGAAGCAAAGCAGGAAACUUUUGAAGCUUUAUUGAAAGAGAGGAUCCAAUCCCACCAUCAAUAGGAAACACAAAAAGUGGAGGGGACAGAUUCCAAUAUCCAAAAUUCAAUAUAAACUCAAAACUAAUCAAGAUUAAGCCAAAGAAAUUCUGUUCCUCCUGCAUUUAACCAACUAAGACAGAGAAUUCAUCUGGAAUUCAUAUGAAAGAUGCCUACUUUAUCAAAAUUUCCAGGAAAUUUCUCCAUCUGAAGCCCUCCCAAUUGGACUUAAGGCCCUAAAAUUCUUAUUCUGGAAAAUUGCCAUUUCUGGAAGAUUCAUGUCAACCAAUUGAUAAACAAAUUGGAUAGAAGUUGUAAGGAGAAUGAAUGGCUGUGAUUAGUACAAGCUGAUAAAGGUAAACAUAGACUGUGGUUACUUUUUCUUGCUUUACAGGAGGUGCUCUCAUAGACUGCACAGCAGUCCUGGCUCUGGUAUUCAUCUUUCUUCAAUCCCCAGAGAAAUCAAUGAAACCUGCCAUACAAUAAAAUCCCAUUUCAAUGCAUCCAAAAAAUAUACAAACAGACAAAAAAAAAACGAAAAAAGACAAUUAGAAUAAGAACAAGGUAAAGGGGAGAAGCAAUAAAUGAAGAUAGCAAGCAAAGAGAGAGAUGGAUGAGAAGAAUGAGACCUUCAGAGGAAUGAAUUCAAUUCAUUGCGGCAGCAGCAGAUGAGCAGAAGAAGCAGAAUUCCGAUAUCCCAGAAGCGGGAAACAGGUGUUGAAUAAUCCAAAAUGCAAAACAAAGGUAGCCUAGAAUCCCAAAAGACAAACAACAACAACUGACUAGAGUACUUGGUAUUUCUGUCUCUCUUGGUCUGUUGAAUGUUCAGUUCAUCCCUGCAUUUCUUGAUCUCCGUGAAGUUAACGCAUUAUCUAAUUAUCUAUCGCCACCCCGUUUCAGCUCUCUUCAGCUACUGGACUACUACUAGUAUACUACUAUCUAUCUAUAUCAUCCCUCGAGAAAAAAGUGCAAAUUUCCACUUCUCAAUGUCAGUGAAACUAGUAUGAAAGAGAGAUAAAUAUACUAGUCCAAUUUGUUACUCCCUCCCUCCCUCUCUCUCUCUCUCUCUCUCUCUCUCUCCAUAUAUAUACACGCGCAGAUACAUAUGAAAGAGAGAGAGUGAGAGAGAGAGAGAGGGAAUUUACAACUGUACUUUCUGGCUAACAUUAAAUUAGUAAUUGAAAAUUUUUAUUUAGAAAUAUUAUGGUGCGGGAAAAUGUACAAGUUAAAUUACAAUAGACAUGGUACAAAACAGUUAAAGAUGCUACAAUCCUAUUCUUCAAAAACAAGUUUUUCAAAUAUAAAUUUUUCUAAAGAUGCCUAGUAAUUUAUCUGUGCAAGAUUUUUUUUUCUGAUCAAAAUAUACAGUGCUAAUAAGUUACAACUAGUGCCCCGGAAGAAUGAAUAUCAAUUUGUGGUAAUCCAGGGGGAGGCAAAAAAUGGUUAAAAAUUAGAGGUUUGGUUAAAUAUUAGAACUGCUCAUUGAUUGUUUAAUUGGUUGCAAAUUGCAAUGACAAAAAUAAGAGGUUAGACAUGGAGUCUCCAGUUUUUUGUUUGUUUCCUAUUUGGCGUCUUUCAAGUAAGGACAGAAAAAUUAAUCAUCAGAAGAGAGAAGUUUUUUUUGGGGGGGGGGGGGGGGGGGGGGGGGGAGGUUGGUCUUCAUCAAUGGCAAUUGACUUCUGCAAUGUGCACCCACUAGCCAGCUCUUGGGGUUUCCUAAAAUGAUGAGGCAGUGAAAUGGAUGUAAGGGUUGAGAAAUUUGGCAAUGGGAUUGAUAAAAAGGAAAGUAGGCAGACAAACCAAUUUUCAGUAAUCAUGAGAUAACGUGCGCUUUCUCUUUUACGUAUCUGGCUCUGCUUUAUGGUUUCUAAUCGGGCAUUUGCCUUGUUAUGGUAAUUCCAGGGUCCCUGAAUAAAAUGUGCAUAAAUUCUUGUUUUGAUCUGACACCUAACAAAACGAGCACCAACUAAGAAAUUUCUUUUGAUUUUACUGCAAUUUGAAGAAUAAGGAAAUUCUAGCAGUCAUUUUUGGCUUCAUUCUGAUGGUAAUAUGUUGAAUUCUCUCUAUAGAGAUAUUAGAAAUGAGUUUAUUGAGUUGCUCUAAACAUUAUUAAUUCACGCUUAUAGUAUAUGCUUUUACGGGUUACUGAGUUUAAUACUUUCCCUGUUUUUAUAGUAAUCCACAGAAUCAAUCUUUAAGUUAUUUUAAAGGGUUUUUCUAACGGAUGUUUUUUAAGCACGCGUUAACAUAACAAAUAUUCAUCUAACUCGCUAUAUAUAUAUAUAUAUAUAUAUAUAUAUAUAUAUAUAUAUAUAUGCACAUAAUAAUAAUUAUUAUCUUGUCUUAUAUUUAUAUACUUUCAUUGUUUAAUUGUACCUACCCUCUCUUGUAUUUAUUUACUUUUCUUAAUUAAUUUUAUAUUUUUAAAAAUAUAACACUUGAAAUAUAUCCGUUACGGGUGCCCUAUGGCACCUAUUAGACAAACUAUACUUUAAAAUGUUAGAAUUACAAAGUGAGCCGGGUUUCUUAUUCUCUCUCUCUCUCUCUCUCUCUUAACUAUAAGUAACUUUGAGGUUUCUUUUGCCGAAAAUGAAAACAACCAGACAAACAAGGAAAUUAAUCCUGCUUGGAUUUUUUAGUUUUUUUUGAGUUUUUAUAGAAAAAUAUAUUGUAAGAAUUUAACGUAUAUAAAGUAAAAAAGUAAUUGAAAAUAUGUUUAGGGAAACACGCAAAAUUUGAUUUAUUUUUAUUUUUUUGUAAAAAGCUACAAUCCGAACAAUGAAAGGCAGGAGAAAGAAAUUAAGAAGAGUGGCGUGGGAGUGGCUGAAAUCUGAAUGCAAAAGCUGCCUAAUCACAUGACUGCCAAUUAAUAAAGUGUUCUGCACUUGAAAAAGAAAAUUUAAAGGCUUUUCAGGGCAUCCCGCAAUGUCCUUACAUUACGUUAACUUUAAGUUUUCAGUACCCAUUUUGUUGAAGGCAAUUCAAUAAUUUUUCAGCCAAUUUUUACGGAGUCAGUCACGUGCUGGUCAGGCAAGAAUAUGUAUUUCAAUUUUUAUACUCCAUCUUAUGGAAAAAUAGUUCAAUUAUGAUUUUUUUUUUUUGGUCAUCUAAAGAAUACUAGAAAUCAAUUGAGCCCUCACAACCCUUGUGGAGGUUUGAUUAUCCCACAUCGGGGUUGGGGUUGGGUUUGGGUUAGGUUAUAAGUCCUCAGGAUGUCCUCAAGAGUUGCCGGCUUUUGAGGAUUGUUCUGGGAUUAGAUUUAUGGUUUGACAAAAAAACAACAACAACGUUGAGAGAAGAAACGCCAGCUUAUCACGGGGAGUGAGGGUCCGAAUAGUCACGGGCGAAAAGAUCCGCGCCGAAGGGCAAGCUCCCUUGUGGAGGUUUGAUUAUCCCACAUCGGGGUUGGGGUUGGGUUUGGGUUAGGUUAUAAGUCCUCAGGAUGUCCUCAAGAGUUGCCGGCUUUUGAGGAUUGUUCUGGGAUUAGAUUUAUGGUUUGACAAAAAAAAAAAUUGAGCCCUCACAAAGCAUAAUACAUCAAGGGUUAUGAUUAGAAAUCCAAAAUGCAACGGUCCAAUUCUAGGGUGCACGAUUAUCAUUCAAGAAUGAGGUGGUUGAGCAUAAUAAAGUUGAGCACAAAGCCAGAAAAAUGGCCUAAAUCCCAAAACCAAAAGUUCAUUCCCAAUCACUUUCACGGCCACACGUUGAUUUGACAUCCACUCAUUUCUUUUAAGUACUCUCUCCGUCCCAUUUGAUAGUUCUGAUUCUUUUUUCAUACAAUUUAAUAAAAAGUAGUUAAUUUUAUUUGAACAAUCAAUUUAGAUAACUAUUUUUCUAAAAUACAUUCACAUUAAUUAGAGUACAACUUUAUGGGAACUUGAAUUGAUGGUAAAAAAAGAACCAACUCUCAUUAAAUGGGAUAGGUUUAUAGUAACAACAACUUACAUUGAAUAAGGGUAUUUUAGGAAAAUUAAAAUACAACUACAUUUUUCAAUUAGAAAGUGGACUAUAAUUUGGGAUAGACGAAAAAAAAAACAAGACUUAUCAAAGUGGAACGGAGGGAGUAUCAAAAUUGCCAGAGCAGGUGGUGAUUAAGCGAUCAAACAUGAUCUUCUUAUUUAAAGACAUUUUGUUUGCUUCCUUGAUUUCAUAUCUCUGGUUUAGUUCAAAUUUAUGAGUUUUUUUAUAGAUCAGAUGUAUCAUUUGACUUUGAAAUCUAUAUGGAUCUUUGUCAUAUUUGAUGUAUUUGCUACCAUUAACACAGAUAUCGGAAUGAUAUUAUGAUUUUAUACCCAAAAAAAAA
rnacentral:lncRNA from 1 species